rnacentral:lncRNA from 10 species
CUCUCUCUCUCUCUCUCAAUAAAUGGCCAAAGGGAUUAGUACUUUUACCUUUGGAGGUCCUCAAAGCAUUAUUUGGAGUUCAUAAUACUUCAGCUAGAACUUAUUCCUUCAAAUUUAACUCUGUACCCAUUAAAAGUGGUUUUGUGUGCAAUUAACAGACACAUGUUCUACCCAUACAUUGUUUUCCAAAAUUAUUGUGUGGCUUUAAAAAAAAAAAAACCCACACAACAAAUUGCAAAAGGCACUGAGAUAACAUCUGCUUCUAGAUCAUUGCUAGGCUCGAAAAAUAAAGCUUGUUCUACCAGGAAUGACAAGUUAGAACUUAGUAUUUGCCAAAGCAGAAAUUAUAUAGUGUCAGUUAUUUCAGGCAAACCUUAUUCGGCUCUCAUCCCCAACUAUCUGUCAGAACAAUUAAAAGAGAUCAAAACAGUCCAGCAUAACUAGGCUUCAUUAUAUAAGCAAAAGUCUGAAACCUAGGCUGGGAACCAUGUAACCCAGGCCAAGAAGGUACUUUAAAGUGUCUUAGAGUUGUUUUUCAACUUAGGGGGAAACAACAGAUUCCAUUAAAUCCCAUAAAGGAUUUUUUUGUGUGUGAAAAAGGGCCUGAUGUAAUCUAGGUUAGACUCAGGAGGCUUUAACAAGUUUUGUCUUACGGGUAAAUGGUGGCUAUUUUCACAGAUAACAUCAUUACUCCCAUCCCUUACUAUGGUUUAUACAAAAGAGGCUGGAGAAUAAGUACAUUUUUACAGCCGGGUGUGGUGGCUAACGCCUGUAAUCCUACUUAGCACUUUGCGAGGCCAAGACAGGAGGAUCUCUUGAGCCCAGGAGUUCGAGACCAGCCUGGGCAACACAGGGAGACC